rnacentral:rRNA from 1 species
UACGAAGGGUGCAAGCGUUAAUCGGAAUUACUGGGCGUAAAGCGCGCGUAGGCGGCUUUUCAAGUCGAUUGUGAAAUCCCCGGGCUUAACCUGGGAACUGCAGUCGAGACUGUCUAGCUAGAGUAUGGGAGAGGGAAGUGGAAUUUCAGGUGUAGCGGUGAAAUGCGUAGAUAUCUGAAGGAACAUCAGUGGCGAAAGCGACUUCCUGGACCAAUACUGACGCUCAUGUGCGAAAGCGUGGGGAGCAAACAGG